CACGAACCGGGCAAACGUUAUUCGGAAUUAUUGAGCGUAAAGAGCUCGUAGGCGGUUUGUCGCGUCCGCUGUGAAAACCCGAGGCUCAACCUCGGGCCUGCAGUGGGUACGGGCAGACUAGAGUGCGGUAGGGGAGGCUGGAAUUCCUGGUGUAGCGGUGGAAUGCGCAGAUAUCAGGAGGAACACCGAUGGCGAAGGCAGGUCUCUGGGCCGCAACUGACGCUGAGGAGCGAAAGCAUGGGGAGCGAACAGG
rnacentral:rRNA from 1 species